UUGCCUGUGAUGAACAAUCUUAACUGGAUUUACCGUCUGAAACACUUGAUGUUAAAAUUCGGCUAAUUUUCUGAGGCAUUUU